CUCCCACUCUCUCUUCCCCAAAAUCUUUGCAUUUUUCGAUCGACUUCUUCCUCGAGGUUAGUUUCUAGCAGCUUCUCGAAGCUUCCCUCCAGUUCUGCAUCCCGGUCGCUUGGCACCACCCAAGGCAUGGGCAUGGUUGUGUUCUUGGCUAUUGUGCGGAUGCGCGCGAUGUAAGAGUGAGUGGUGCGUCCUCAAGCGCGCGCGCUCGCCCACAAGGUGUUCGACCAAACGCCGCAAUGGCCUUUUUUUUGUUCCUCUUUAUGACGGCUAUAGACGCCUGGUUUUAAUCACAGGAUGGGAUCGAUGCGAAUGUGCGAGUUCGUGGCAGAUGGGCAGUUGCUAUGAAGGAGGCAGUAUCAGGUAGUAUUAGCAUACACAAUCGCUAUCUUUUCCAAAAUCCAAGUAGAAAAAGGAAAAAAACACACACAAAAUCUAUAUCUAUAUUUACAUUGUGAAGCCUCUGCUGCUGCUACUAAUGCUACUCAUUGCUCUGUAGAAAUCGGUGAUCACGGAGUUUAUGCACGCUGGUUUGUCCUCCAGAGGGAUCGAUCACCUUGUACAAUGGUAUGCCUUUCUUUUUCUUUUUACCUGCUAUUUUUUUCUCUUCUGUACAUACAUACUCUCAUGUUGUUGCAUUUAACCAUUUACAUAAUUGAGCCUUUUUUUGGUCUUUGCUCCUGUAUGUCCCUUCAGAAAGGGAUCCAUGCCUGUACAUAUUUGCAACAAGGAGAUUUUAAUUAUGGUGCUAAUGGUGGUGGAUACAAAUAAAUGGCUGUGGCCAAGAUUGAUGGCGUGGUUCUGACCUUGAUUAAUCCGGUUUCAG
rnacentral:lncRNA from 1 species